UACAGAGGUGGCAAGCGUUGUUCGGAAUUACUGGGCGUAAAGGGCGCGUAGGCGGUUCGUCAAGUCCUGUGUGAAAUCCCCCGGCUCAACUGGGGAACUGCACAGGAAACUAGCGGGCUUGAGUUCGGGAGAGGGAAGCGGAAUUCCGGGUGUAGCGGUGAAAUGCGUAGAUAUCCGGAGGAACACCGGUGGCGAAGGCGGCUUCCUGGACCGACACUGACGCUGAGGCGCGAAGGCGUGGGGAGCGAACGGG
rnacentral:rRNA from 1 species